CUAAUCGAGAAAUGAGAAAUACACGUUUUAAUGUAUUUACUUACAAACCUUUUGAUUCGUAAUGAGAUUAUUAUUGUUUAUAAAGUUUGGGGGAGUAGUAAAGAUUUAUAAUGAUUUGUAAUUUGGAUACUUAUUUAUUCCACUACAUAACAAAAGGCUUGGCCUACAGAGUUAAUUGGGCCCUAGCUCGAGCUGGACCCAAUCGCAAAACUGGGCUGAAAAGGCGGACAAGAGGGUCGGGCCCGCGCGGGCCAAACCGGCCGAACAGGUUACCCAUAGUUCGACCAGACAUAUGAAAAGACGAAAUUGCCCCCUUCCGGUUCGCCCUAUCCCUAAAUCGAAAAACGACUCAUUUGCAACCUUCCCACUCUCUCUCUUCUCCUCUCCUCUCUCAAACUCUCUGACUUCUCUCUACCCUCUUCUCUCUUCCUCCUCUUCUCCGCCCCUACUCCGCCUCUGCCCCGCCAACGGCGAGGGCGGCAGCGACGCCGCCGCCGUGACUCUCCCCCUUCUCCCUUUUUUUUCUCCACUUUCUUUCCUCCUUGCCCUCUCAUUCCCUUCCUUUUUCUCUCUUCUCUUCUCUUGGCUCCGCCGACGGUAGCGGCGGCCGCCCUGCCGUCGCUCCCCUCUUUUUUUCCUUUUUUUCUUCUGUUUUUCUUCUCCUCUCCUUCUCUUCCUCCUCUUCUUGUUCUCCUCUCUUCCCUCUUCUCUCUUCUCUUCCUCUGGUUCCGCUGACUGCGAUGGCGACAGCGACUUCGUCGCCGACCUCUACCUUUCCUCUCUCUUUUCUUUUUCUUUUUCUUUUUUUUCUUCUUCUCCUCCCCUUCUCUUCCCCCUCUUCUCCUCAUCUUCCGUCUCCCUCUGUUUCUCACCGCCUUUGCCUCCGCCCCCUCUUCUCUUUCUCGACCCUCAUCAACAAAAAAGGUAAGAAGAACUCUGGAACCCCUCCCUAGUUACAUUUUUUUAAAUUUCGCCAAGAUCUGAGCUUGAAUGUCAUCAGAGGAUGUUUCAGUGAGUCUUUCUGUGACAUGCAAGUCCUGAUCUGUAAAUCUAGGGUUUAUUUUGGUGUUUAAAGAGUUUUUUUGACUUUGCUGUUUUGUUUUGUUUAUUUUUUUUAUUUGGGUUGGGAAUCGAUGAAGCGAAAGAAGAAGAGGCAUGAAAAAACAGUAGAAAGAAAAAAGGACCCGCCAUACUGAGAAGACGCAGACGAGAAAGGUAAAAACUAAUCUUUUUAUUUAUUUUGAUUUCGCUUAAUAGAUGAUGGUAGUUUUGUUAUUGACUAGGUUGAGAAAAGAAAAAAAAUUGGACAGUUUUGUUAUAGAAUCUAGACUAGUAGUUUAAAUGGUUGCGAAAUCGAUUUUCUGUUUCAUUUUACUACUUUUGAUAAAAUUCCAGCAACAAUGUUUGAUUGAAAAUCUAUAUUUUAGCUUGAUUUUGACAUUAUACUAAGAAUAGCUUUAAAGGUCUUGAGUCCUUGGUGCAAAUGGUGUAAAAAUGAUGACCAAUGGUCUUUUAGUCUCUUGUUAAUAUAUUUUUCAGUAGCUUUUAAUUGCUUUGGGAGUUCAUUUCACUCAUUGGUUCGCUGUUUAUUAAAAUAACUCGUUUAUUUGGUUAGUUGGAAUGAACAUUGGAUUUAAGAUUAGUUUAGACGGUGACUAAGCGAUAUAGUAUAGAAAAAUAAUGUAAAUGUAUAAAUGAUAUGCAAAUGAUUUCAAAUAGAGAUGUUUUGAAUGAUUACCUUUAAUUCGAAGUUUCUUUGUUUUGUUGUGUUUCAGGUGGUGACGCCCUUUGUGAGUGACGACAAAACUCCUUUGAUUGCUUCUAUGUUGGUGAUGACAGAAGAUUUGUAAUCUUUAGUUUUUAGUUUUUUUUAUUUAUGACUUUGUGGGUUCAUUUAUGUAUCGUUUUGGAGGUUUUGACGGGAGGAUUGAGGAGCUUGUAGGAGGUUAAAAUUUUUUUUUCCAAAACUUUCUCUCUAUUGUUUCAUUAUGGUCCUGGUGUCCUUUUAAUUAUCAAAGUGGCUGCCACCUCCCCUCUAAACCAACCAACAUUUCACAACACAAACUGACAUAAAAGGGAGGUGGCAGCUCCCUAAUUAAUAACAGUAUGGGGUCUGAAAUUGGGCCUGAAAUCGAGUCCGAAAUCGACCCGAAUUAUACACAAACUGUUUUGAGAUAGCGGAUCUUGCUGAAUUUCGAGAUAGCGGACUUGAGGUCCAUUCAUUUUGGCUGUUCCGUUUAGAAAGAUCGAAAACAAAACCGGUUUAGAACAA
rnacentral:lncRNA from 1 species